rnacentral:rRNA from 1 species
CCUACGGGUGGCUGCAGUCGAGAAUCAUUCACAAUGGGGGAAACCCUGAUGGUGCGACGCCGCGUGGGGGAAUGAAGGUCUUCGGAUUGUAAACCCCUGUCAUGUGGGAGCAAAUUAAAAAGAUAGUACCACAAGAGGAAGAGACGGCUAACUCUGUGCCAGCAGCCGCGGUAAUACAGAGGUCUCAAGCGUUGUUCGGAAUCACUGGGCGUAAAGCGUGCGUAGGCUGUUUCGUAAGUCGUGUGUGAAAGGCGCGGGCUCAACCCGCGGACGGCACAUGAUACUGCGAGACGAGAGUAAGGGAGGGGGAACCGGAAUUCUCGGUGUAGCAGUGAAAUGCGUAGAUAUCGAGAGGAACACUCGUGGCGAAGGCGGGUUCCUGGACAUUAACUGACGCUGAGGCACGAAGGCCAGGGGAGCGAAAGGGAUUAGAUACCCGGGUAGUC